GAGUUUGAUCUUGGCUCAGAUUGAACGCUGGCGGCAUGCCUUACACAUGCAAGUCGAACGGCAGCACGGGAGCUUGCUCCUGGUGGCGAGUGGCGAACGGGUGAGUAAUGCGUCGGAACGUAUCCUGGAGUGGGGGAUAACGUAGCGAAAGUUACGCUAAUACCGCAUAUUCUGUGAGCAGGAAAGCGGGGGACCUUCGGGCCUCGCGCUCUUGGAGCGGCCGAUGUCGGAUUAGCUAGUUGGUGAGGUAAAGGCUCACCAAGGCGACGAUCCGUAGCAGGUCUGAGAGGAUGAUCUGCCACACUGGAACUGAGACACGGUCCAGACUCCUACGGGAGGCAGCAGUGGGGAAUUUUGGACAAUGGGGGCAACCCUGAUCCAGCCAUGCCGCGUGAGUGAAGAAGGCCUCGGUUGGU
rnacentral:rRNA from 1 species